rnacentral:rRNA from 1 species
UACGGGGGGGGCAAGCGUUGUUCGGAAUUACUGGGCGUAAAGGGCGCGUAGGCGGUCCGCUAAGUUGAAUGUGAAAACUCUGGGCUUAACCCAGAGCCUGCAUUCAAUACUGGCAGGCUAGAGUUCUGGAGGGGAUAGCGGAAUUCCUGGUGUAGCGGUGAAAUGCGUAGAUAUCAGGAGGAACACCGGUGGCGAAGGCGGGUCUCUGGGCCGAUACUGACGCUGAGGAGCGAAAGCGUGGGGAGCGAACAGG